AAAUCUAACUACCAAAUGAUCAGGCUUGAUUUUGGUUGGCCAAUCUGACUACUUGCUAGAGAGACUCGAUUGAGUCAUCAUAUUAUGAAUGAUAAUUUCAAUAGCAGAUGAGCCUAUCCAAUGAUCCUCAAAUUAAUGGACCUAUUAUUACCCAACUUAAUAGGAGGCUAUGAUCUAGUUAUCACCAUAACUAUCUCAUUUUGGAGACCUAAUAAUUUAGAGGAUUCAAUUGAUGAUUUAAGAGAAGAGAAGAGAUCAACCAAUUAACCAUAAUUCUCCCACCGACUUCACCAAGUCAUUGAAUUAGACUAGUGAUAUGCUGGUCAAAUGGCACCU
rnacentral:lncRNA from 1 species